ACGCCUAUAUAUAUUUGCGGCUCGAGUAGAUUCUCAAUUCUGCACAAUAUUUUUACAGAUGAACUUCGGCGGUCCAAAGUUUGAAACUGCGCUAUCAGUUGGAUUGUUGAAGGGUUUCUUGCUUGCUCCAUGUAAUUUGCUUAUUUUACUGCAUCCUAUCAUGUGUCCAUAAACGUACUUAUGUACGUAUGCUCAUGACCCUACUCUGAAUCUCAAGCUCUGAAUUUCCGGAGCUCAGCUGGGACAUGCAUAAGAUUUAUACCACACCUUCGGAAUAAUAACGACAGAAAUGUUGUUUUGAGAUGUAAUGUCAUGUACAUGGGGUAUAGGAACUGCAAUUUCCACGAACUUUCCUCUCUAUCUCUAUCAGGGGCAGAGUAGGCUUUUGGAGUAGCGAAAUGUGCAAUCGCAUAAUGUUAUAUACACUUUUGUUUAUUCACUGAACAAAAGAUACAUAUGAAUGUAAAUGUUGUUUCUAAACUCGAAUCGAACGCAUAAAAUUACACUCUAA